AAGGAACAGGCAGGCAGGGGAGCGGAGAAAGACGACAUCAGUUAAUGAGGAGCAGAUGUGCCAAUCUGCUGGGAAACCUGUCUGUGUGAGUGAGACUGUUCAGUUUAGAUGCUGAAAUUCUUGUUCACUAUAUUCUAAAUUAUUUUUUCCUUUUGCUCGUGACUUUUACUUUUUCUAAGCUGAAGCUAUAAAAAUAAUUUUAUUAGUCACUAAUCACUUGAAAACUCAGCAAGAAAGUAAGUUUUAGACUACUUGUGUUUGUGUUCAAUCCUGUGACUAUUCAGAUGCUGAAACAAACUAUGCAGUAAAACUGUGUUCAUGUUAGACCACUGAUCAAGAGAGUAAAACAGAAGAGGUUGACACUUUCUCUUAAGAUAUGUAAUCUUUACAUAUAACAGUUAAAAUGGCUUUUUCCCUGUAGCAAGUAGCUUUAACCUUCGAAAUGGAACAAAAUGGAUUGAUGUGAUUGAUUCAACACAUCAAUCAAGCAGAAACUUUGCAGAAAACACAGAAACAAAUAAAUGCAUGACUCGAUGUGAAACAAAUAGGAUGUGAAGUUAAACAGAACUAAACUGAACUGAAUUGAUUUUUUUUUAAUAAAUAGCUUAAAGUGACUUAAUUUUAAGUUUAUUUUAACUUAAUUAAUUGAAUUUCAUUCAACAUUCAAUCAAAGUGAAAAUAAACUGAACUGUAAUAAAUAGAACAAAAGUUGUUGCUGUUGACCUAAAUUCAGAUAAACUGAACUGAACUGAGUUGGGUUUAAAUUAACUGCUGUUAGUUAAUUUCCAAUGAACUGAAAUAAACUAAACUUUACUCAAUUCUGUUCACUUGGACAUUACAAUGAGCAUUCUUGAAAUAAGCAUAGUUGAGAUUAAUUUAGUUUAAACAAACUUAAAAGACUGAGUUCUGGAGAAAUUAGCUGAACAAUUUGUGUAUGUAUUUGUGCUUAAAACACCUAAUUAAAAACAAAAUUAAUCAGAUUGAUUUUAUUUUCUUUAAAGUGACGAGGCAUGUACUGAUUCUGCCUCCAUUAAAUUGAAUCUAAUUGGGCUGAAGUGAAUUGAAUUGAGCUUCAUUGACAGUAACUGGUUGUGUCCUGGUGCAAUAAGAAAACUCACCAAACUGAAUUCAACUGAUCUUAGCUGAGUUGAGUAGCAAUAUAUUCUAUUGAAAGGAACUGAACCGAACAGUGAUGAAUUGAUUAACUACACUCAGAGGAGCUGAUUGCACUGACUGAAGUUCUAAAUUAUCUGAAAUUAAAAUUUAGUAACCAAAUCCAAGUUAGUUGAAUUACAUGGAUUUUAUGUAAAUGAAAUUGUUUCUGGUUUGACAUGAUUUGUGCUGCAGGAAGAGAUUGGCUUGAUCCAAACUGAAUCAAAUGUAGUUCUCCUCUUUAAAGUGGGCUGGCAUGUGACUUGAGUGUUGGCGCUGUAAGCGGUUUUCUGUUAAAUCGAGUUGAAUUGACCUGAAUUAAUGUGAACGAAUCCCCUGGAGACAUGUAAAUGGUAAAUUCAUGGUAAAACCUUCUGGGUUUUAACAUUUAAACGAACGGACCUUCAGAUGUUCACUUUUUAUGUUAAUGUUUUUUAAGUGUAAAAACCCCACAAAUCUUAGAUUCCACCACCUUGUUAUUUAUUAAACAAGGAGGAAGCAAAACCCUUUAUCAUGCACAAAUAAACCGCUAAACUUAUUGAUGGUGUAUUCUCUUUUUACCGCAACUGCAACAAUGAUCGCAAUUAACUUCUCUGUUACACUGAAGGGUUUUCUACAUGCUGCUGCACUUUGACCCUCAUGGCCACCAGGAAAGGUUUAAUCUACGUCUAAGCAUCACAGUUUAAGCGCUUUUGGCAACGCAUCGCUUUUAAAUUCUUUGUACUUGUUAAAACAAAGACUCUCCUUCAAGACUCACGUCGUCAAACUAUUGUCAGCUUUUUCUCCCCGACGCAUAAAUGCUGAGCUGUCGAGGGUGGCUGUUCUAAAACCUGUCAGGACCUCCCAUUGAGCAUUAUUAGAGCGCUGCUGCAGUUAUAGAAAGCCGUGUCCGGGGAGCAGCAGAGCUACAGAGUGGUGCAGCUGCUUUUUAAGGCCUCUGAGAGACUGAUGUGCUGCACUGUUACAUUCUGGUGUCGAUCCAGCUUGGGCACUGCGGAGGAGGACUGGGGCUUUAGGGCUGCACACUCAGCUCUUUUUAAUGAGCAAGGAAAGCCUGCGCAUCACGGGGGCUCCCCGAUACUCACGCCACAAUGCAGAGGAUGUGCCUGUAGCCCUCCUGCAUGGAGGAGGUAAUCACUUUUAAAACACUUGCUCCUGCGCACAACAGGGACACUCACUGUGCAAGUUAGGGGACAGAGAAAAUAGGUUAGAAAACCCCUGGAAGAUGGCAUUCACUAAGGAUCCGUGCUUCUAGGGAGGGUUAAAGUGAAGCGGUAUUGAUGUCUCUUUUACGAACAAGUGGAUUGCCACACUUUCUACCUGCACUAGGGGGAAAAUUCUGGAAGGAGGAAAGAACAAAGUUAGGGGGAAAAAAGCACUGCAAAGAUUGAUAAAAGCGAAGGGAAAGUGUCUGAAUCCAGGUUUCCUAGGGGAGGGAAAUAAUAAACGUCUCUGAAGAGCGUGACUGGGGUGACAGCUUGUUAAAGCAAAGUGAGAGGCAGGUGAAGAUAAGAGCAGAGAGGAGCAUGUGUUGACAUAAAGCAGACUUAAAAUAGAGCAGUGUUGCAUUACGGCUGUUUCUGCCCCACCUGUGUUUAUCAGCUUGUGUGUGAUACUUUUUUUUUUUUUAAAGACAGACUCGGGGAUGCAGAAACAAAGAGAAAGACUCAGCCAUGUGUGCAAAAUGGUGAACACAUCCAGCAGCCUGUGCUCAAAGCAGCUGUGAGUGCCUAUGCUACGCUGACUCUGAGUGUGCUUGAUAACCCGACUGAGCGCAGCUUCCCUGCAUGUUUUGAAUUUAAGAUCUUGCAUGUAAUUUACAUGAAGCGUCGUGGCUCUGUUCGCUCAGCCUCGGUAGGAUCAGGAGGUUCGGCAGCGAAGCGUUUGAGUGGAAACUGAUGCACCUUUGGCCGUUUCUUGCGUAAAGCUCUGAAUAAUUUUGAACAGUUCCCUUUUAGUUUUGUUUUUGGAAAUGGAAACUGUGUUUGAAAACUGUGCUUGCAAUGUGCCCCAACAUGGGGGCAACUAUUUCCCAUUUAGUGGAAAUGCAAACACAUGCAGGAACACUCAGUCGGGCAGCGUUUUCUUUAUGGUGCUGAACAGUGUAACGCUCAUACAUACGAUAACACUCUGGGUGGAGAGCCAUUUCCCUCGCAUAGAAAACCUCCACUCGGUAUUUGAUGCAAGCAGACAUGAACGUUUUUGGUUGCAUAUAUUUAACUGUAAUAUUUGUUCACAUUCUGUUUUAAUCGACAAAAGUUACAUUGCGUUUCAGUUAAAAAUCAACCUUUUUCCCCUUGUCAAUAAAGACUACACACAUACUGCGUGGUAAAACUAAUUCAGUCCCCUACCUCCAACGCUAACAUGGUGAAGAACUCAAAGACGAGGCGGCUUUCUGACGCGGAAACGAUUUUGUUGUGUUGCUUCUGUUUCUGUCUGAUCUAUUACAGAAGCUGUUUCGCAACAGAUGGCUUGUUUCACCAAUAAUCAACAACGUAUACGAUCCCUGCAACGUAAUUUAGCAUAUAACCACUUAGCAGUCAACUGGAAAUAUGCAAGAUGUUCGGUGCAAACCAGUGGCCUGGUCCGAGGUUUAAUUAGUGGUGGUCUGAACUCUCAAGAGUCAUUUCUGUGUGCAUUCAUUUGUGGCUUCGUUCCUUUUAUAAACACUCUCACCUCACAUAUACUGCGAGCCUUUUGUUAGUACUUUAAAGUAAACUAACCGGUAUGCUGUUCAUUUUAAUUAAAGCUGCUGCGAUCUGUUACACAAUCUACAACCUUUACACAGAUGGUGUAAGACAAUUCAAGUCCCUGACAUGAUGACAUAUGUUUUUAUAGAAUUGUUUUUUUCACAUCGGGUGAUUUAUCUUCUUAGAUUAUAAAAUUAAGUGAAAUAGAAUCAGAUAGGAAUCGGAGGUUUAACCGUAAACUACAAGCGUGUGACGAUCUGAACUCAUGGAGGCUUGAACGCCUUUCAGUUCCUGAAAAUAAAACAGAAACAUCUGCAGUAUUCAGAGAUAUUUCAAGAGUAUGACUCAUACUGUAUCAAAACGGUCAAAAAAGAUUUUUUUCUUUCUUUAUGUGUUUUACUUAUUUAUGUUAAGAAUAGCAGUUACCACAUCCUACGUGAGGGAGCAGCAGCUCUGUAAUCUGUUGCUGAAAUUGUGAAGAGGUUUGUUAAGCUCUUUACCUCCAUGUCAGGUUUGAACAUGUGUUCGUAACUCUUUUUAUGCUUUUCUUGUAUAUCCUUCUUUUAUGCGUAUUGUAAGCGGAAAGCGGCUGCAUAAAUACCAAGUAGAUUUUUUUUUUUUUUUUUUUAAAUAAGCUACUUGCAGUGCUUUGCAGAAAUACUCUUCUGUGUUGUACUUUUUUUUCUUUUUUUUUGACAAUUUGAUCAGUUGCAACCACACACGUCAGUGUAUGUUACUGGGAUUUUGAAUCUAAGACCAACAGAAAGUAACCCAUAAUUUAUUUUAUUUUAUUUUUUUAAUGGUUUUAAAGGUCUGGCUGCUUGUUUGUUUGUUUUCCAUCUACCCGCCCAUAAACUGUGGCAAGCUUCUCUUCUCCAAAGCAUCAUACUGCCACCACCUUAUCUUACUGUAAGUUCAGUCUGGAUCUCAUCUGAGCAGAACGCCUUCUUCAACAUGUUGCUAUACGGCUUUUUUUUUCCAACAUUGCUUUAUGUUCUUGGUACUCUUCCAUAAUUAUUCUGUUUCAUGUACAUGUAUCCUUUAUAUACCAAGGAAGUAAUUUUUCCAAAACAGUUAAUCAUAUUAGAUUUUAUUGAGGGGUGUUAAGGUAAGAAAGGCUGAAUACAAAUGGCACCACACUUUUCAUAUUUUGUCCUGUGUAAAAUAUUUGUAUUUAUACACUUCUUCUUUCACUUUAUAACUCUGAUCUAAUUAACUUACAUCUGUUUCUUAAAACAAUAAUAGAAUAUUUUGAAGUGAGAAAACUGAUGUGUCUAAUUGAUUGGAUCUUUUGCAAUAUUAUUGAGGACAAAUGCGGGUAAACCUUUUGUUUGACGUCGCAGUGCCGGCAGCCGUUUCUGGCUGCGGUUUUCUCACUGCAGCUUUGUUCACCUCAGUGGUUACUUUGCAGAUUUAACCUGUGGAUGUUCAAUACUGCAGCUACGGUCAUUCAGUCUGUGCUGAAGCAAUUUUUGUCAUAAAAAAAAAAAAAGAAAAGAAAAAAUCCCAAGACAUUGCAUGUAUUGAACGCUUUGUGUGUUUUCAAGCGUCUGAAAACACACAAAGUGUGUGUGUGUGUGUGUGUGUGUGUGUGCGUGCGUGCACCAGCGCUGGGUAACAGGAUAAUCAGCAUGAGGCGGAUUGCUGCAUUAGCAGAACGCAGUGCACUGAGGUUAUCUGCAAACAUCAGUGUUUUAAGUCCCGCAGAAUAACAAGCCAAUACUGUUAGCUGGAGCAGAUCAGGACAGUAAAGCCCAGAGGCCUGAACCUGCAGAAUAUUCAAUAACCCCCCUUUUUUUCCCCAUUUAAUUAAUGAAAAAAAAGGGGGGUUCAGAAUCUUAAGUGUUCUUACGCCCCAAGGGAAUGCUCUAAAAAUAAACUCACUUGCUGAGCAAAAUUGCUUAAGACAACAUGAAAAAGAUUCAGGCGUUUCAACAAAUGGAUCCCUCAGCAAAAGGUUCUUUAAGUGAUGGGUUAAAAAAAAAAAAAGAUCACCCACAUCAGUCUCCUUCUCAUCACCUCAUUUAGCUGCCUUCCUCCCAGAGGACUGCCUCUUAGUUGAGACUAAUGAUUAUAAUUUCAGAGGCCUCUGAAAUCCCCCAUCGCUGUCCAAUAGACGUUUCAGGAUUUGAAGAAAACUGAUGUGUCUCCCAUUCUCCCCCCGCCCCACGUGGCUUCACAUUCAGAGCUUCUCAUUUUUAUCUAUUUGUGCCGCAGAGACGACAGUUGGCAUUUUCCUAAAACUUCAAAGACCGACAGCGGCUUGUGGGCAAGCAGAAGUAAAGGUCUGGAGGGACGACAAGUGGAGGAAGCGGAGAUACGGGCGUCGCGCUUCGCUUCAAGAAACCCUUCGAACGAGUCUGCUGACUGACCUGCGUGAUUUGUGUUUCACUUUAUGCUUGCUGCUCUUCAGCUGCACCGGCUCCAAAAGGAAGCAGCUCUGACACAGAUUCCCUGGACCGAGCCUCUGCGGAGAGAAAACUUUUUCUGCUUCCUCUGCGUCCUACUCUCCCUAAAUGCAGUUUUUUUUUUCUUUUUGUUGUUCUAUCUCCACAACUUCUCCUUUUUAUCCAUUGGCAGGCUUUAUCAUUUGAUCUUUCCUUAGAUCCUUCUAUGCUUCCAUUUAUUGCUGCCUCGUGUGCUUUCUUACUCCUCUAUUAGUCUUUGGCGCUGGCGUG